rnacentral:rRNA from 1 species
GUGGGGAAUUUUGGACAAUGGGGGCAACCCUGAUCCAGCCAUGCCGCGUGCGGGAAGAAGGCCUUCGGGUUGUAAACCGCUUUUGUCAGGGAAGAAAUCCUUUGGGUUAAUACCUCGGAGGGAUGACGGUACCUGAAGAAUAAGCACCGGCUAACUACGUGCCAGCAGCCGCGGUAAUACGUAGGGUGCGAGCGUUAAUCGGAAUUACUGGGCGUAAAGCGUGCGCAGGCGGUUUUGUAAGAUCGAUGUGAAAUCCCCGGGCUCAACCUGGGAACUGCAUUUGUGACUGUAUAGCUAGAGUACGGUAGAGGGGGAUGGAAUUCCGCGUGUAGCAGUGAAAUGCGUAGAUAUGCGGAGGAACACCGAUGGCGAAGGCAAUCCCCUGGACCUGUACUGACGCUCAUGCACGAAAGCGUGGGGAGCAAACAGGAUUAGAAACCCGGGUAGUCC